GACGAACGCUGGCGGCGUGCUUAACACAUGCAAGUCGAACGGAAAGGCCCUGCUUUUGUGGGGUGCUCGAGUGGCGAACGGGUGAGUAACACGUGAGUAACCUGCCCUUGACUUUGGGAUAACUUCAGGAAACUGAGGCUAAUACCGGAUAGGAGCUCCUGCUGCAUGGUGGGGGUUGGAAAGUUUCGGCGGUUGGGGAGGGACUCGCGGCUUAUCAGCUUGUUGGUGGGGUGGUGGCUUACCAAGGCUUUGACGGGUGGCCGGCCUGAGAGGGUGACCGGCCACAUUGGGACUGAGAUACGGCCCAGACUCCUACGGGAGGCAGCAGUGGGGAAUAUUGCACAAUGGGCGGAAGCCUGAUGCAGCAACGCCGCGUGCGGGAUGACGGCCUUCGGGUUGUAUACCGCUUUCGCCUGUGACGAAGCGUGAGUGACGGUAAUGGGUAAAGAAGCACCGGCUAACUACGUG
rnacentral:rRNA from 1 species